GAAGUAUUGAAAAUGGGUAAUGUAGGAGGACAAUAUUGCUCCCACAUCAGUCUGUUGAUAAAAUUUUAAAACGUGUAAACCCUGAGACCAAGAUAUUUUUACGUUAACCUUAAAAUCUUAUGGUUUUAAAUAUAUUCAUAGUUUAGGCAACCUGAACUACUAUAGUGCGGAGAGGUAUUAUUAGGAAUCUGCACCUACCUGACGAUGUUCCAAUAAACUCAAAUUUACUUUCUGAUUCGACUUAUCGAUAUCUUUCCGACAGAAAUAUCAUCUGUCAACAUCAACGGAUGAUAUCUCAGUAACAACAUAUUUUAAUUGUCCGUCAGUUUCAAAGGAUGAUACCUCACAUAAACUUUCAUUACCUGGUAAGCUAGAAACUAAUAUUGGAAUCAUGUGGAAACUAAUUACUCUUGGUGUGAAUAACUAAUUAUUUUUGGUCGACGACGUUCAAAUAAUAUGUGCCUACCUGAAACAAAUUAAUAAAUGGAUACCAAUUUGAUUAUAAAAACAAUGCAAAUUAACUUGUUACAAAUAAACUUACAAAUAUGUUUGUAUGUAAAAAGCAAAAAAAAAAAAAAAAUAAAAAUUCUUCUCAGCCGGGAUUUGAAUAAAGACAUUCACUUGUUUUCUAUGUUUUUCACUCCAGCCGCUUACUUAGUGCUCUAUCAAUAUGUUGUCAUUUUGAAAAAAACAAAGCCAUAUCAAGUAGGUCUCGAACCACAUGAACGCCCUAGACAAUUGGGAUAUAACAAAUCCAAACUAUUUUG